rnacentral:rRNA from 1 species
UUUAGAAAUGAAGAUUAAUACCCUAUAGUCUAUUUGAAUGGCAUCAUUUGAAAUAGUAAAGGUUACGGUACAAGAUGAGUAUGCGUCCUAUUAGUUUGUUGGUAAGGUAACGGCUUACCAAGACUACGAUAGGUAGGGGCCCUGAGAGGGGGAUCCCCCACACUGGUACUGAGACACGGACCAGACUCCUACGGGAGGCAGCAGUGAGGAAUAUUGGACAAUGGGCGAGAGCCUGAUCCAGCCAUGCCGCGUGCAGGAAGACGGCCCUAUGGGUUGUAAACUGCUUUUAAACAGGAAGAAACACUCCCUCGUGAGGGAGCUUGACGGUACUGUAAGAAUAAGGACCGGCUAACUCCGUGCCAGCAGCCGCGGUAAUACGGAGGGUCCGAGCGUUAUCCGGAAUCAUUGGGUUUAAAGGGUCCGUAGGCGGGCAGCUCAGUCAGUGGUGAAAGUUUGCAGCUCAACUGUAAAAAUUGCCAUUGAUACUGGUUGUCUUGAAAUUAUUAUGAAAGUGGUUAGAAUAAGUAGUGUAGCGGUGAAAAUGCAAUAGAUAUUACUUAGAAUACCAGAUUGCGAAGGGCAGAUCACUAAUAAUAUAUUGACGCUGAUGGACGAAAGCGUGGGGAGCGAGUGAGGAUUAGAUACCCUGGUAGUCCACGCCGUAAACGAUGGAUACUAGCUGUUCGGUAGCAAUACUGAGUGGCUAAGCGAGAGUGAUAAGUAUCCCACCUGGGGAGUACGUUGGCAAGAGUGAAACUCAAAGGAAUUGACGGGG